rnacentral:rRNA from 1 species
AUGGAGGUGGCGGCGGCGGCGGGGGUCUACGAGGAGAUGCUGCGGGUGGUGGAGGCCUGCGCCGCCCGCAUCCGGUGGCGCCUCCGCCCCCAGUCCAAGCGCCGCCUCCUCAACGAUAUCACGUUCCUCUGCACCGGGUUGCGGCCUGUGAUACUGAUGGACUACGGCGGCACGAUGCCCCAACUACAGGAGAACCUCUGCAGCCUGCUGCACCAUGCUCGGCAGGAAGCAAGCAUAUUGAAUCCACUAAGGGUGAUGGUUAUGAAAGAUAUGCUCUACUUGAUUCACGCAGAAGGACUUGCUGAACAUGUGUCACCAAAUGCAAGGUCACAGCACCAGCUAGCUUUUGUGGACCUAGAGAAAAGCUGUUGCGAACUGCUUGCAAACACGGAAAAGAACGAAACCAUGGUGGAGCUUUUAUCGAUCCAAGAUCGAUUUGCAGCUACAUUCCCUCUUGAAGCAGAUGUAGAACCUGAAACAACACAGCAGAAGUCAAGACUUCCAGAGAGAGCCACUGAUGUGGAGCGCACUGGCAUCAGCAUUCCCGACACAACCUCACUGGUUGUUGAUCUGAGUGCCUUCCUAGAGGGUACCCAAAUGGCACUGCCUUCUCUGAAUGGGUGGCUCUUGGGUUAUCCUGUAACAUAUUUAUUUCGCAAUGAAAGUGGUGAGACGGCCACUCAGAAUCUCUCCAAGCACUCUCUUCAUAUCUACAGGAUAUAUGUGGUCAGAAAUCGCCAUUCAGAUUCUAAGCAAUCAGAAGAGGAACUGUUGAGUUUUUCAGUUCCGUGUGACAUCAGCAUGAAACGCGAGGAAGAACCAUGGGCCAAGUCAUUUCUAGCUCGCGUGAACGGGAAGCUCGAGCGAUGCAGCCAAGUCUGGGCAUCAGUGCGUUUGGAGAUUGAGGUCUUCCAAAGCCAGUCCGGGGUCAUCGUGCUGUAG